AUGAAACUGAAGUUGAAUCAGAAGCGGCGAGUUGAAUCGGCAAUGGAGGAUGUUGAAGAAAUAGUUAGAGUGAGUGGUGAAGAAAGUGAUAACUCGGAAGCGUUGUAUUUGUUGGAAAGAUGUUACAAAUGGAAAGAGAUGAGAGAUGAGUUAACGAAUUACCUCGAAAACAGUUAA